AUAUUACAGGUAUAACCCAUUAGUGUAGACUGCUUAGGCAAUAGAUGAGUACUAAAUCCCUCCUCGAGGUUCAGUAAUUUGGAUUUGGUCAUGCUGAAUAAUCUGAGCAAAGAAGUGAGGUAAGACAUCUACCACAAAGUAGGAGCAGUCAGCAAGAAGAGCUCUUUUAGACAACCAAUCAGCAGCAUGAUUUUGUUCCCGAUAAAUAUGAUUAGCAAACUGGAAACAAACUAGCCAUAGUCAGAAUAUCUUUAUAGUAAGAAAGAUUAACAAAAUUAGCAGAAAAUUGUUUUGAAAUCCAGCGAAUUACCGUAAG
rnacentral:lncRNA from 1 species